AGUGAACGCUGGCGGUAGGCCUAACACAUGCAAGUCGAACGGCAGCACAGUAAGAGCUUGCUCUUACGGGUGGCGAGUGGCGGACGGGUGAGGAAUACAUCGGAAUCUACUUUUUCGUGGGGGAUAACGUAGGGAAACUUACGCUAAUACCGCAUACGACCUACGGGUGAAAGCAGGGGAUCUUCGGACCUUGCGCGAUUGAAUGAGCCGAUGUCGGAUUAGCUAGUUGGCGGGGUAAAGGCCCACCAAGGCGACGAUCCGUAGCUGGUCUGAGAGGAUGAUGAGCAACAAUGGAACGGAGACACGGACCAGAGUCAUACGGGAGGCAGCAGGGGGGAAUAUUGGAGAAUGGGCGGAAGCCUGGUCCAGCAGUACCGCGGGGGAGAAGAAGGCAUUAGGGUUGUAAAGCCGGUUUGUGGGGAAAGAAAAGCAGCAGGUUAAUACCCCGCUGUUCGGACGGUACCCAAAGAAUAAGCACCGGCUAACUUCGUG
rnacentral:rRNA from 1 species